GCCGAAAUAGCUCAGGUGGGAGAGCGUCAGACUGAAGAUCUGAAGGUCCCUGGUUCAAUCCCGGGGUUCGGCA
rnacentral:tRNA from 1 species